rnacentral:misc_RNA from 1 species
CAAUUGGGGAACUAAUGAGGAAUACUGCCAAAGGCCUGUCAUUUGAACAUGAUCAACUCAUUUUUCAGUUCACAGUACUAUAUUACAAUUGUACAAAACAUGCUUGACAGAGUCAAAUUUGAAAGUUUGUGAUCUACAAGUAACCAUCUCUUUUGGUCAAAAUAUUUUCAGAAUAUUUUUUUCAGUUACAACUGGCCAUGUACCUACAAGGGAGGUUGAAGCAUAGGGAGAGAAUUUUUGUAGAGUUGGAUAGAAUAUAAAGAAAAGACUUAAUAGAUGCUAUGAUACCAGAAACCAUCAAUUGUUUACAGUCAUUCACCCAAGGAGAUGACAACAAAAACAUCAUCAAGGGGCCAUUUUCUUGGUUUUGACUUCUCUGAAGGGUUAAUUAUUGCAAGAUAUGCAUUUGCAAGGCGAUACCCAAUCACAAUUUCAUCUCUUUGAUGUCCCCUAAUCAUUAUUUCAUAAAAACAAAAGCUCUUCCGGGUGAAAUAGGUAGAAUUUGCAGGUUUAAUACACAUCUAUUUCCCUACAAAUGCCAGCCAAUUAGAUACACAUAAAAAAUCUAAUAUUAAGCCUUGGAAUCUGAAACAAUAAACCAGUUGAUCUGCAAGAUCUGAAAGGGGCAGAAAAAUGGGAAAUAAAAAGGUGGACAGGAGGAACGAAUAAACAGUACCUCCUCAGCAAAGAGUCCCUCUAGAUCACGAUUUAUUUGCUUUUCUUCAGCAACCAUUGCCAGUACCAUACUCACCAAUUCAUUUGACUGAUUCUGGACACAGAGACCAGGUUUCUAGUCCUAGCAUCCAGGUUUUCACUAAUGAUUAUUGGUUUGUCAGAAGCUUGCUGCAUUUCACGAAUCCAAGAGCUAGUACAGAACCCAGAAAGAUGUAAAGAUGUUGACUUUGUAUCUCUACAAGGGAGAUGCUCUGGAGAAUCAAAAGUAAAAGUCUCUAGAGGAAGACUCUCCAAAUGUCGUCUUAUGACAGCAUUUUCCUCCCAGUGAACAAGUUUUAUGCUCUCCAAUCCACAAAUAUCAAGUCCACCAUCAGUAAGCUUCUUUUCCUUUUCUUUUUCUGGGACCUCAUUGAACAUCCAGAGUUCAGA